UCUCAGCGGAAAGUUCUAAUUAAAUCUUCUUUUUCUCAAUUCUCAUACUAUAAUCACAAUCUGUACAAGAAUUAAACAUCUCAGCUCUUAGUUUUUUCUUAGCUUAUCAUCAUCGUAUUACUCCCAAUUCUCAUGAAACUCUUAUGCCAUAGAACAAAAAAUUUGAAGAAAGAGCAAAUUUGAAGCAACAAUUAAACGACGACGACAUCAGUUGGCAACGGUCAACGCCGGAAAGUUAACAGCAGUUGUGGACAUGGAAACGGCGACGACAAUUGUUAGAGACGAAGGCAAGGAUAACAACGCCACAUGCUUUUGAUCUGUUGUUUUCCAUUCUUAAAGAAGGGGGGCAUAAGGGUCUUAGUUUAAUAACAAAUUGGUGUAUAUUGGGUUUUGAGGUAUUUAUGAAAAAAUUUAUUUUGCCGUGAGAGAUUUUUGCAUAUUAAUAUUUUGUGGGGCUAAGUACACAAAUCCCCUUAAAUCAUAUUAGGUUUUCAUUAGUGCCUCACAAAAUACUUUUAUGCGAAAAUCUCUCAGAAAAAAGUACAACUUUUCAUGAAUACCCCAAAACUUAAAAUGAGCUGGUUUACUAAAAAAAUAGGACAUGUAUACCCCUUUCUUCUCCAACUCACUAGAAAAUAAGAAACUGAGAGGAACUGUCGUUAUUAUCCUUUCAGUCAUAGAUGACGCUGCCAACGAUGCUUCCAUGUCCACCGGCGCCGUCAACUUCCCGACGUCGGCGAUUGUUGGUGCUAUUUAAACCGAUGUCGUUACAACACUGUUGCUUCAAAUCUCUUUUUUCUUUCAAAUCUGGAAAAGUCGACCAUGUCUGAUGAUAUGGCUAUGGUGGAUUUUAAUUUAACUGUUAAUACUUAUUUGCUCUUAUUCAGGAACUAAUUGCUUCUUGGGAAACUAUCACCAUCAAUCCUCCUUCCUUGAUGAAAUAUUUGAAGAUAACGUAGUGCACAAGGUGAAAGGAACGUUCAAAGACAAAUUUUAAUUUAUUUAAAUUCAAUUAAUAUUCAUUGAGAAAUUAGAUGCCGGUGAUACAUUUUGAUUUGUCCAAAAUUACAUGAAGGAAAUGAACUUGAAAUGAACUUGAUGUAAACCAUCCUAAAAAUAAAAUAAUUUUAAAAUUUAUAGUGAGUAUUUUUUUUCUCUA